GUUGUGGCUCAAUGGUAGAGUGUUUGCCUCACAUAUGCAAGACCCUGGGUUUGAUCCUCAGCACGACA
rnacentral:tRNA from 1 species